rnacentral:rRNA from 1 species
AUACGGAGGGUGCAAGCGUUGUUCGGAAUCACUGGGCGUAAAGCGCGUGUAGGCGGCCUCUUAAGUCUGGUGUGAAAGCCCGGGGCUCACCCCCGGAAGGGCACUGGAGACUGGGAGGCUAGAGUACCGGAGAGGAGGGUGGAAUUCCUGGUGUAGCGGUGAAAUGCGUAGAUAUCAGGAGGAACACCGGUGGCGAAGGCGGCCCUCUGGACGGCUACUGACGCUGAGACGCGAAAGCGUGGGGAGCAAACAGGAUUAGAUACCCUGGUAGUCCACGCCGUAAACGAUGGGCACUAGGUGUUCGGGGUAUUGACCCCCCGAGUGCCGCAGCUAACGCAUUAAGUGCCCCGCCUGGGGAGUACGGCCGCAAGGUUAAA